rnacentral:tRNA from 1 species
CGGGGUGUAGCGCAGCCUGGUUAGCGCGUUUGACUGGGGGUCAAAAGGUCGGAGGUUCGAAUCCUCUCACCCCGACUA